UCCCUCUUAGCUCAGUUGGUAGAGCGCGUCACUAGUGUAUGGAAUUGCUUUGAUGCGAUAUGACGAGGUCAGUCGUUCAAGUCGGCUAGCGGGAA